rnacentral:rRNA from 1 species
CGGCGGACGGGUGAGUAACGCGUGGGUAACCUACCCCAAAGUCCGGGAUAACAGCGGGAAACCGCUGCUAAUACCGGAUGCCUUUACCUUGGGGCAUCUUGAGGUAAAGAAAGGUAACGCUUUGGGAUGGGCCCGCGUCCCAUUAGCUAGUUGGUGAGGUAACGGCUCACCAAGGCGACGAUGGGUAGCCGGCCUGAGAGGGUGGACGGCCACACUGGGACUGAGACACGGCCCAGACUCCUACGGGAGGCAGCAGUAGGGAAUAUUGCGCAAUGGACGGAAGUCUGACGCAGCGACGCCGCGUGAGCGAUGAAGGUCUUCGGAUCGUAAAGCUCUGUCCUUGGGGAAGAAGGUCUUCGGACUUGACGGUACCCAAGAAGAAAGCCCCGGCUAACUACGUGCCAGCAGCCGCGGUAAUACGUAGGGGGCGAGCGUUGUCCGGAAUUACUGGGCGUAAA